UCAACACAACUGGAGACGUUCGUCUGUCAGCAACCAUACCUCCCAGACACUGGCACGGGAGCUAUCAGUGAUCUACUGUACACACACAAAACACACACACACACAGAGAGUGAUUUCAAUACACACACAGACUUAACAUACUGUAGAUACACAAACAGUGAUUCAACACACACACAAACACUCAAACGUGAUUGCUUCGGGGCGACAAGUUGGUCUUGGAGGUGUACUUUUGAACAUUCUUUGUCCAACAAGCUGUCACAGUCUUACUGCAGAAUUAGAUGUGUAAAUUUAGAAGUUUAAGGGUUAAGGUUUUGGACAUGGUUAAAACAGUACGUUUAGGCACCCAUUCAGAACGGUUAAGGUAAGAGUUAAGAUUUGGGAUAUAUAAAAAAACAUGAAUACAAAAAAAAACAAGUGUCCACUCCACCACUUGGAUAAAUCAGGCAAUCUUAUGAUCCAGAGUCAUGGGACUACACCCAUCCGACACCCCUGUCCACAAUGCCCAGGCCUACUUGAUGGUAAUAGCGCUCAAUGUUGCCCCUAGUUGCCAGUUUUGAAGGUAUUUCCCAAAGUCCUCAAGACAUGGAUAGACGUCAAAUUUCGAAGUCACUCUUGAGCGAUCUGGUUGCUCUCUCAGUCAUGAUGCUUGUGAUGUCUUCUAAUUGCUAUUCUCAGCUAUUCUCACACAGCACCACUGCUUAAUUUGAGCCGGAACCUGCAGGAACAGGAUCCGUACUUCUCAGCUUUGGACUGUUUCUUUCCAAACCUAUUUGGCCGGAUCCAGUACCUCUCGUGGCAAUAAAUUGUGCUGUUUGCAAUGUAACAGUUAUUAUGAAAGCAAUCAGAAUUACUUUGAGUUGCCUUCUCGUUCAUUCUUCUGCCCCCUACAUUUUUUUAGGUGAGUGGGGUAAGUUGAGCGAAAGGGGUAAAUUGAGCCACCCUUGUUUCUAGGAAACCAUACACAAAAUCUAUAAUUUGACCAAAUACAUAAGAGGUCUGUGAAGAAAGAAACCACAUGGGAAAAAUUAUUUACAUUCAUUCUCACCCAUCUACACACAAUAACCCAUAAUGACGAAAUGAAAACAUGUUUAAAGACAAUUUUGCAAAUAUAUUGAAAACAAAACACAGAAAUAUCUAAUUUGCAUAAGUAUUCACACACUGAGUCAAUACUUUGUAGAAGCUCCAACUCAAGAACACGUGCUCGACGUCUGGCAGGUCCUUCAACGCCUUCUCCGCUGUUUGUGAAGGCAGAGACCUCUGCCUGACCUGACCCUGAGCCUGUCUGCCGUCCUGUAUCUUGCCUUUGUUGCUGUAAUAAACAUUAUUACUUCGACACAGUCUGCAUCUGGGUCUUACGUUAUGCUAAUAGAGAGCAAAUGCAUGGACAUUUAGGAGGAGGGCUGUAGCGACCUUUCUGCUUUCGUUUUCAAGAUGAUCGAUCUCUGUCGAGGGAGGAGUUGUUUUUUACAUAUUGAAUAUAUUUAUUUCUUCUGAACACAUUUCUGUUUGUUGGCAAUGUCAAUUCUUGCAUUUCUUUUCAAAACACCUAUAUAUUCGCUAGAUGGAUAGUAGACAGUAGCAGACAGCUGGUGACAAACUGCUAUCAGUCCUGUGUCCCUCUCCCAGAAAUUCACCAAGAAUGGGCUGAUUCACACACCUAGGACUAGAGGAGUCUUCACAGGGUUAUGGCUGUCAGCACCCAUCAGAUGUUUACCCAAGCGGAGAAAGAGAAAGAGAGGGGUGCAUACCUGGUCCUCUAGCCCUCAGGACAAUGACCCAACACACCUCCAAGCUUUGUAAGGGAUAUUUGACCAAGAAGGAGAG